rnacentral:misc_RNA from 1 species
GUUUCUUGUUUUUUUUUUCAUAAUUGAAAUUUUUAUGGUUUGUCGUGUAACAAAAUGUGGGUGUGUUUUUUUGGUGGAAUAUUAAAUAUCCCAUGCAUGCACGGACGGACGGACGGACGGAAAAUCCACCAACCCCCCCCCCAUCAUGAUGCAUAGGACGCCAACAGGUGCACAUGUGUGUGUGUGGGUUAUAAAAAGGUAUCUCAAUUGAUCCUUCCGCAGGUUCACCUACGGAAA